GGGGAAUUUUCCGCAAUGGGCGAAAGCCUGACGGAGCAAUACCGCGUGAGGGAGGAAGGCUCUUGGGUUGUAAACCUCUUUUCUCAGGGAAUAAGAANCUGAAGGUACCUGAGGAAUCAGCAUCGGCUAACUCCGUGCCAGCAGCCGCGGUAAUANCGGAGGAUGCAAGCGUUAUCCGGAAUGAUUGGGCGUAAAGCGUCCGCAGGUGGUUUAUCAAGUCUGCUGUNAAGGAGUUUGGCUCAACCAAAUAAAGGCAGUGGAAACUGACAGACUGGAGUGCGGUAAGGGCAGAGGGAAUUCCUGGUGUAGCGGUGAAAUGCGUAGAGAUCAGGAAGAACACCGGUGGCGAAAGCGCUCUGCUGGGCCGUAACUGACACUGAGGGACGAAAGCUAGGGGAGCGAAUGGGAUUAGAUACCCCAGUAGUC
rnacentral:rRNA from 1 species